rnacentral:lncRNA from 1 species
GUAUACGUUCAACAACAUCGCCAAAGCGUACGAGGCAUGCUUCUACUUACGUUAACCUCGAAAGGAAGACCGGGGCGCACCAUUUCACACCCUCUCUUUGAGCAAGAAGAUGCAUCAUGAUCAUCGCUUGAGGAACCUGUUUGAAUUCUUACGACUCCAAUACGCUCGAGCCUUCGACGGUGUCAUGUGGAGAUUAAUGAUUAAUGAUUGACCCACACUUCACAUGCCCACUUGAGUUAUUUUGGCAUGUGGAGAUUAGAGCUUUGGAAACUAGACAAAAAUAUUCAACCACGUGGGGUCUGAGGAAAACAAGAAAGAAGGUCGUAUGAAAUACUCCAACUUGAAAGCAGCGUGUGUAUAAAUUUCAACGAGCGGUUGCUGAGCCUCUUUGAGCUCUCGAAAACUCACUCACCCUGCACUACUCAAGUAGCAAGAGGAGGCAGAAGGAGAAGGAGAAGAAGAUGAGUACUCAACCGCCAAAGCAGCCGCCAAAGCAGCCGCCAAAACAGCCGCCACCACCGGGAAAUGGGAAGCCCCAUCCAGCCCCAUCCUUCGGCAACCUCCCACCUCCGAGAGGCAGCGUCAUCAGGGCCAUCAUCUACGGCAACAGCUGAAGCUGUUAUGAUCUUAAUCCUGGGGAGGUGUAAGUAGCUUUUCAAUUAUCCAAAAGACUUAACCUUCGUCCUAUCUUAUCGGAGGCCCCCUCUAGCCCCACCCUUCGGCAACCAACCACCUCCGAGAGACAGUGCAGUUAGCUCUAUCCUAUCUGAUAUGUGUAGUUAGUAUAACGAGGUUGAUGUACAUAUUAUGAAGGGUAUGCUGGUAUGGACCAGAUCUGAGAUCUUGUACCUACUUUGUGUUUUCGUUAUGUGAAAUGUAAUCAAGAUCCUCCCCCAAAUUAAGGUUGUGAUGUUUUUACAGGGUAGGCAUAUUUCCAGAUAAUUCUUACGCCCGCAUGCGCUAACGAAUAGAUCUCAGGUUCCUCUUGUGCUUUCAUAUCGUUUCUGCCCUGCAAGCGCGGCACGCAUGUUCAUACGUAUUUGCUUGUGCGCGGGCAAGCGUGCUGAACAGGUGGAAUAAUCGGGUUGAACUUCGAAGUGGGAUUUCUAACCAGAAACCUCGUAUAAGCGGACGACGAGUAUCAGCUUGAAUGUCCAUACCGACACAUCGAACCUCGCAGGAGGCUAAUGCCAAGAAGGAUCCCGAAUGAGCAAUUUUUUCCUUACAUAACUCUUCUCUGAUACUGUUGAUUAUUCAGAAUUUUUAACCAGAAACCUCGCAUAAGUGAACUGACAAGUGUCAGUUCGAAUGUCUCCACCGACACAUCUAACAUCGCCGGAAGCUAAUGCCGAUGAGGAUCCCGGAUGAGUAACUCCUUCUCUGCACUCUUAGAUAUUAUUGUUUCUAUUGAUUAUUCUCUUUUUCUUUAUUUUGAGAAUUGUUAUGGAGGGAAAAUCUGACUUAGCUCUGAAAUAGGAGAUGAAGGUCAGACCAUGACCCACCAUGACAUGAGAGAUGAAGAUUGAGAUGAUAAUGUUUGGUAGAUAUUAAUUGUGGCCAGUUAUAAAUUACUGCUUAAAUAAAAUAAAAUAAAAAGUUAUCAGUCUAUAUCAAAGGAGUGUGAAUCCGACUUGUCUUUCCCUUCGACUUAGUGGAUUAUGUAGGUUAAUGCUGCAUUCUUUGAAGAGCAACGUCCCGGACCAUAAAAGUCGAUGCAGUAUCGUAUUUUGUCACUUGUAAUAUCUUGAAUAUAUAAUUAAUGGAAACGACAUGCGGAUAAUUUCGACAAGCGAAAUCCACUCAAUUGGCCCGACGUCUUUGUCAUCGUGCGUUGAAAAGCAAGGAAGCCGUGUGUAUCGGAGCCUCCUACGCGAGGCAGAAAUCAUGCAGUGCGGGGUAAUGACAGAUAUCAUAAGUCGAUCAAUUGAUAUAUUGAACGACCAUCAUCGCUAGGCAAAAUCUCAGCGGUCUCGUCCGCGUUUUCGAUAAAACUUGCUAUAAUUACGGCACAGGGCUAUAAUUAGGGGCCCACCAGACUUGGGAGUCGAAAAUUCCAAAUGUGGUGGAAGAUAAUGAAACGGAGUUCAUCGUACAAACACCACUUGCCUAAGAUAAUGAAACGGAGUUCAUCGUACAAACACCACUUGCCUGGCCAAGUAGACAAGAGGAUCUUGUCAAAAAAAAAGUAGACAAGAGAACAAAGGGAAAACAGCCACCAAACAAAUUUGAAUCACAUGCACCAGACGUACGGUUCCCUCGACAGCUCUUGAAAUUCAUCGAGAGUAAUUGAUUGCUUCGGGAGUGUUGGAAUCUAUUGGCAUUCGAUUUGAUUUAGAUAAGCAUGAGGGUCCAUCUACAAGUGAGAAAACAACAUAUAUCAAAUUAACUAGAGAUGUGGAGAAUAUGCUCAAUCAUAUUAUCCGAAUUUCAUAGGAACUCAUCUGUUUUUCAGGGUUUUAUGUAGAUUUCUAUGAGAUGUUGUGAUAUAUCGCUGCCAAAUGUUCCAAUUUUAGAGUUCGGCUUCAUUGAAUCUUGGCAUGGGAUUAGUUUAGCUCAGUAGAUCAAUGCAUAUGUAUUUGUCCUCCUUCUGUGUACUUAAUUGUCAUUUAAUAGGAUCAAUAUCUCGAAUGAAGUCAUAGAAAUACAAUUUCUAUUAUUAGGUACCAAUUAGUUAUAUACUUCUCUCUCUCAUCUCAUCCAUUAUCUUAGGGUUUUCAUGCAAUAAUAGAUUGGAGGAAUAUAUAAUACAUAUAGAAGAAAUCAAAUUAAUUGAUACAUAGAUUUUUCUUUCAUAUAAGGGGCCAUGUAUAGAAGAAAUCCAUGUAUAGAUAAUCUAAAAGUAAGCAAAAGGACAUGUUGCUUACAUGUGACAGAACUUGUGUAAUAAGAAUUCUACGUCAUAAGAUGUUUGCGUGUCAUACAAUUUUGAGAAGGUGUUGAAAAAUAUGAUUGUGCAUUUGCAUAUUUAGAAAGGUUAUAGGCGCUUUGCGCAAAAUAAAAGCUAAAUAAAUUGAAGGGUCAUAUGCUUUAUAGAAAGUUGAAUAUUUGAAAUAGAGGACAGCACCCAACGGAUAACAGUUGAACAAGUUUUGUUAUGGCAAGCAUUCGGGCCUGUUGAGCCGUGGACUAUUCAGCACUUGUUGAGAAACCUUCCCAUUAUGUACUGAAGAUUGACAAAAUCUUCCUCAAGUAUUAUGAUUCCGAUGCUAAGAUUUUCAGAUAAUAUUCUUGAAGCUACUUGUUUAGACCUUAUUCAUCAGGCUCAGAGACUCGUUAGUUUAUAUAAGAAAUUCUGGUUCUCUAAGUUGAAGAUAUUGUUAUGUCAUGAUAAUCAAAGAUUAUGGUGUAAUUUGCAAGGACUAUCAAGAUAAUACACAGCAUCAAACAUAACGAGAAGUUUCCUGAUUUUAUUAUUAGUUUGGAUUUUCUGAAUCGCAACGGCUAGUAACCUUGGCUCAAAUUUCCUUCUAAAGUUAUAUCAAUUGUCCAUCUAUUCCAAAAGGAUAAAUAUCAACAUAAUCCUUCCAUAAUAACAAUUCGUGAUCCAUGUGAAAAUCUUCUGGAGACAAGAUGCUCUUCCAAACGAGGAACUCUACUUAUGGAAACCUAACAGAGAAACAGAAUCAAAGGGAGAUUCUGAUUUUUCAAUCCUAUAGAAACAAUCAAAUCUUCUCAUAUCAUUUAAGUCUAACGAGUUGAUUGAAUCCUCAAAGUCUCCAUCUAACGGUCAACUUGGAUAUUGAGUAUAAAAGGAGAUUGUGGUGCUAAAGAAAACACAAAAUUUGAAAUCUACAAUUCCAAAGUUCAAAAAAACUUCGAUAUUGCAUACUUGUCUUCAUGAGCCUAAAUUGUAAUCUUUGAGAGAUUGUUGUUGAGAGUGUGAGAUUGGAAGAUACAAUUGCACAUACCUAAGUAGAGAGUACUUGAACUUUGUAACCUCUGAUUGAUUCUCUAAUGAAAUCCAGCCAAUAGAAUAUUAGCAUGGGAAGGUGGACGUAGGCUUAUCAUAAGCUAAACCUUUUAUAAUUAUUCUCGAUCAGUCCAUCUGGCCAACGCUGAUGUGGCAGUCGGCCGGCAUUGGCGACAUUUUUUUAAUAAUAUUUUAUUUUUUAAAAAUAUUUUAUUAAUUUUAUUAAUCUUCUUUUCCUGUUUUUUUCCCCCUCUCCCUCCUUCCUCCUCCUCCUUCCCUUGGCUCCAGCGAUCGGCCAAAGGGGAGGGCUGGCCGAUCGCCGGACUGAGGCAGCCGGCGAGGCAAGCCCUCGCCAUCGCCGGGUCUAACAAGGCGAGCCCCGCCUGAUCUGGCGAGGGCUCGCGCGUCAUCCAGCGAGGGGGGCUCGCCGUCGCGUCUGGCAAGGCCCUCCUCGCCGAAUCUGGGGAGGGCUCGCCUCCCCCGGCGACUGAGAGGCGAGCCCUCGCCAGAUCCGGCGAGGAGGGCCUUACCAAACGCGAUCUACGACUACCGCGCCAAGAUCGAGGCCAAGCUCUCCAAGAUCUGCGACGGCAUCCUCAGUCUCCUCGACUCCCACCUCAUCCCCGCCGCCUCCGUCGGCGACUCCAAGGUCUUCUUCCUCUAGAUCAGUUCCUGGACUGUUGGCGAGCCCCCUUCACCGAAUCUGGCAAGGGCUCCCAUUACCACGAAAUCGCACGCCGAACCCUUGCCAGAUCCGGCGGGGACUCGCCCUGCCGCUUCUGGGCGCGCGCCAACUGGCGAGGCGAGCCCUCGCCAGAUCCAGCGGGGGCUCCCCCUGCCGUCGCUGGGUGCGCGCCAACUGGCGAGGCAAGCCCUCGCUAGAUCAGGCGGGGCUCACCUCGCCAAACCCGAUGACGACAAGGCCCCCUCGCCGAAUCUGGCGAGGGCUUGCCCCGCCGGCUGCCUCAGUCCCGCGACCGGCCAGCCCUCCCCUUUGGCCGGUCACCGAAGCCCAGGGAAGAAGGAGGAGAGGAGGAGGAAGGAGGGAGAGGAAAAAAAGAUAAAAAUAAUUAAUAAAAUAAUAUUAAAAAAAUGUCGCCGACGCCGGCCGGCCAUUUUUGGCCGAAUGGACUGAUUGGGAAUAAUAGUAAAAGGUUUAUGACUUAAUUGGUCAAAAAAAUAAGUUUAUGACUGAAUUUGCACAAUUGUAAUAGGUUUAGGACUUUUUUGGUAAUUUUCCCAUUUAUUGCACACGGUAACAUCUAAUCACUACACUAUUCAUCUUUAGACGUCCAUCAUUUGCAAUAUUGAACUUGACCUCUUUUUUUUUAAUUCCACUUAAUCAUCUAUUCACCCCUUGAUAGAUCUAGCCCCAACAAUAAUAUCUUCUGAGGAAUUGAUUAACCCAGCAAAAUCACAUUGGCCAAUUACUAUGCAAAGCCAACAAUUUUUUUAUUUGUUUUUUUUUUAUCUUUGUGGGUGUCUCAACCACUAAUUUUAAGGUGAGAUGACACUAAUUGGCUGCUUUUGAGUGGCUUUUAGCGAGCAAGUCGUGCUUUCUUCCCCUCUAAGAAGGAUAAGUUUGGGAGCCAUCCUUCAUCAAAGUCAAACGACAUAAAAGUCACGUUUUUUUUUUCUUUUCUUUUGACAAGGUACCACGUUUCUUAUAUCAGAGGCGGCCAAGACAUUAUUAGAGAAAAUGUCACAUUGUUUGAUGGCAUCACGGACUUAAAGAUGGCUUAUGUUAUAUUGUAGGGGAAAAAAUAUAGUGCUGUUGUAUAAUGUUCAUACCUCUAGUGUAAAGAUAUGUAAGCUCCUCAGCCGGAAAAAUGAAAAUAAAAUGUAAAAAUAAACCCACUAGACCCUUUUUUCUUUUCUUUUUUUUUGGGGGGGGGGGGGGGGGGGGGGAAUCACCUGAACCCUUUGGGUGGGGAAAAAUUGAACAUAUGAAAAAGGUUUUCCUCAGACCAUAUUCUUCUUCUUUAAACUAAUAUUUAAAACAACACAAAAAAUUUUUCCCUUUUGAAAAAAAAUUAUGUGAAGAAAUUGGGGCAUACAAAGUGUAAUUUUUUUCCAAAUAGGUUGGGAUGGCCAUUGUUUGAAAAAAAUUUUUUUAAAAUUUUUUUUUUCCACAAAAAAAUUUGCAUAAAAUUGCCUCAAGGAGGUGGAUGAUUUUUUUUGAACUUAAAAAUCCCCAAAAAAAAAGACUGUUGAAGGAAUAAAAAAUGCCGGCUAGCUUAGGUGAUAAUAUAUUACUCCCCUUCACAAGAGAAAUGCGGACUCACUUUCCCCGUAGUUUUUAUGCAUGNNNNNNNNNNNNNNNNNNNNNNNNNNNNNNNNNNNNNNNNNNNNNNNNNNNNNNNNNNNNNNNNNNNNNNNNNNNNNNNNNNNNNNNNNNNNNNNNNNNNUUUCGGGUCCACCCACGUCGACCCAAACAGUGGAUUUUACCAUCACAUACUCCAAUCCUUCAGGGUGGGGGUGUAUUAGAAUAUAAUAACCUACUUUUAUGACUUCUUCAGGAAUACCAAAAUGCAUGAGAGGAGGGGGAGGUACUACCAUCUAGGGACUUGAAAUGUUGUCCCACAACGGGGUGAGACUACUUCUCAACAAAUUCUACUCUCUAAGACCUAAUUAGGAAGCCAAUACGCUUUUUAAGGGCUAUCUAAGCACAACACGGGUCAGAAGACUACCAAAAUGCAUGAGAGGAGGGGGAGGUACUACCAUCUAGGGACUUGAAAUGUUGUCCCACAACGGGGUGAGACUACUUCUCAACAAAUUCUACUCUCUAAGACCUAAUUAGGAAGCCAAUACGCUUUUUAAGGGCUAUCUAAGCACAACACGGGUCAGAAGACUUACAUUGGCUUCAAUUCCAUCUUGCAAGUCAGUAUAUAAAUCGAAUAUACACAAACCACAUCAAUUCACCUAAUCAGAUCGAACUAUCGAUUAAUUGACUCAAUCGAUUACAUGUCAUCACGACUUUCCCUUGGUUGGUACAUUUAAUACUAUCUAUAGGUCCACCCAUGAUAGGACUGCUUGUUCUAAGCUAAUAAAUAGAUAGUAUAGCUUUCGUUAAGCUGAUAAAUGGUGUACUGCUCUCGCUAAGCUGACAUAUCAAUCCUUAAGUUGAUAUAGCACACGAAUAAUGCUCUCUCUAAGCUGAUCAUAUUGCUCUCGUUAAGGUGAUUGGGUAUACUGCUCUUGCUAAGCUGACAUAUCGUCUGUAGGCUGAUAUAGUAUACCUUCCCAAUUCUACAAUCAAUUCCAUCUUUUUAUCAUUCUCAAUAAAAUAGCCGUGGGUGGGGACACAGUUGGCCUUAGCCAAAAUAUCAUAAUUUCACUUUUUGAACAUCCCACUAGUUUUAACAGCUCAUAACAUAUUUUUGGCGCUGUAAACUAACAUCCGUUAAUUUUCCCAUUAAUACCAAAAUCAAAUAAUUUAGGAAUAAAAUCCUAAAAUCCCAAUCAAAUCAAUUUAGCACAAUUUAACACUCAAAUAAAUAAAUAGACCGCACAACAAUAAUCAGCAUAAAAUUUCGGUCAUUGGCUAUCCCAUCCUAAUUUUUCGAAAAAUAAUUAAAUAAAUUAAAUAAUUACGAAAAAGUAUUAUAUAAUGCAAUAAAAUCCAAUUUAGGCCCGGUAAUGCCCUGAUUGGACGGCGAAACAGACCCCAGAAAAAAUUCCAAGGGUCAUUCAAUAAUUUAAUAACACGGAGUCUACCCCGCUAAUGGUCACUAACCAUGUGUCUAACAUGCAUCGAUAAGGUACUAAAUUAAUCACUUUACUCUAAUCUAUCCAUCUAAUUGCACUUAAUUAAAUCUAAUCAGCCCCUAAACGUCAUUAACUGACUAAUAGAGGAUUAGUGAGCUAAACUCACUUGUUUAACGAGCGGUUCGGUGCAGAACGAUGGGAACGUCGUGGGGCCUGACUUUCCUUGAGGCAAGCCUAGCAACCGAAGCUCGGGACCACCUCAAAAUGAGCCUUGAAGGUGGCUGGAUACCCACAAAACUCAACCUCUAUUUUGAGCUACAAAGAUAAAGAAACAAGGUUGGUUAGGGCGUCAAGGCUCAACAGAGGUAGCGGGGAUGGUCUCAGGUCCAAAUCGGGGCAAACUGGCAGUUGAGGGAGCUUCGACGAUAGCUGCCACGGCUGGAUAGCAACCCUGGACACACGGACAAAAGCUGCUGGAUGGCGGUGAGGCGUGGCAAGGCGCAUAAGCGUGUGUUCGCUCGAGGAGGGUGAACGACGGAGGCAGUGGUGUCUGCAGCUCCAGUGGCUGUUGACUCUGGCAAUGCGGUUGGCUUCUUAUUGGUUGCUGGUGUGCCAAAAUGGAGAGGAAGGUGGAAAGGAAAGCUGGCUAGUUCCUUUGUGAGGAAGAGAGGGGGACAAUGGCUCCACCAAUGUCCAAAUUUUCCAUUAUGGUCUCCCUUGACCAUUCUCUGCCACCAGCCUUCCUUUGGCCUCCAUUAGGCCACCAAUGCAUCCCACAUGACCUUGAAAUUGUCAACUUUGGCUAGGCAAGGGGGAAGAUAUGAAUUUGCAAGUCUUCUCCCCCAAUUGAACACAUAUUCUUGCUUAAUUCAAUCUCAUUUAGCCCAUGCAAAUUCAAUUGGCACCUCAAAGAUUAAAUUUAUAUUUUUCUUCAUCAAUUGAUCCCGCUUACUUCUCAAUUGUGCAAUCAAAAAUGGUCCUGGCCUUUUUCUAAACAAAAACAUCCCUAGGAUGAAUUUUUCCCAAAAAGUCUCAAGUUGCAGAAAAAUCUUCUGAGACUAGGUCAACAUUCCUAGAAUUUAUUGUGACAUGACAAAAUCUUCAAUCUCUAAAAUUGGACUCAAUUUCGUGGUUAAUUUCCAUUUGGCAUGUUUUUAGUACGACCUAAGCUACUAGGUAGUUUUCAAAAAAUUUUAGUGCAAAUGACCUGUGAUCGAUUUUCUUCGAGCCACAAUGAACCCACUCAACACAUUGGUGACUCUCAGUUGUCGUGAAAAUCUCGAGAAUUCAAAUAUGGACACAUGGUACCAAAACGAUAGAAAAAUCAGUUUAGUAUCGAUUGACAUGUGUCACCCAUGAUUAGCCACAUAUCUCUGUCAAAUCGACCUAUCAUUGAUUUCAAAUCGAUUUUUAACUGUACUGUAAUGACCUCUAAAGAUGAGCACGGUCGAAUUCUCAAGUCUAUUGCAUUAGAAUUCCUUAAUGGCUUCCCUAGAUAGUCUAGUUAUCUCGAGAGUGAUCAGCUCUAAGAAUAGCCCUAUAGGCGCGUCAAUGAAAUGUCCGAUUUAUUCAGUAGAAAAUAGGGUUGAAAAUCUAGGAUGUCACAGAGAGAGAGAGAGAGAGAGAGAGAGAGAAAAGUUGUUUGAGGCUUUUGGUGGUUGAGUAAGAUGUUGGAUACCUUCGAACGAAAAAAUUGGUUAGGCGUAGCGAGGCGAAAGUAAGAUGACAUUGACUCUUCAGUUCCGAUCAAGUUCCCCCCCCCCCCCCCUUCAACAUCAUUUUUGAGAACACGAAAUAGACUCCCACUUUCCAUAUUCUUGUAAAUCAAGAACAUGUGUACCCAACGUAUCAAGAACUUUGGAUCACGUUUCACAUGGGUCGAACCUGAUAACGAUCAUUUAGGGAGAAUCAUAAUUUAUGAAUAGUAUCAGGAACUCUCUUUCAUAAGAAGGGUACUUAAGAUAUACAAAAAGUGCAGCAUAUGAGAUUUUAAGGCAGAAGGAAGAAUAAUUUUAUGAUUUUUAAGGUUCUUUCUUUGACAGUUUUCCGUUGAUGGGAUUCCUCAUCUUUGUGUCCUUGUGUUUCAUCAAUUCUAAUUAAUUUAAAGGUUGUGUUCAUUAUCACAAAGCUUCAAGACAUAAAUCAAUUUAUACGAUCGAGUGUCUUUAUAGUGGAUAUGUGACAUCCUGAUUUUCAAGUCCUGAUUUUGAUCGAAUAAGUUGGGCUUUUCAUCGUCACGAUUAGAGUGUUUUUUUCGGAGUUGGCCACUCACGAGAUAACUAGACCAUAUGGGGAAGUCAUUAAGAGAUUUUAAGGCAAAUAGACUUGAGAAUUCGACCAAGAAUUGACUUCUCGACCGUGCUCAUCUUUAUAGGCCAUUACGGCACAGUAAAACCGAUUUGAGAUCAGAAAUAGAUUAGUUCCACUGAGAUGCAUGACCGAUCGUGGGUGACUCCAAUGAAUUGGAAAAUUCUCGUUGACUGACACUAAUUUGAUUUUACUAUCGUUUUAGUACCCUGUGUCCGUAUUUGAAUCAUUGAGAUUUUCACGACAAUCGAGAAUCACAAUUGUGUCAAGUGGGUUCAUUGUGGCUUGAAGAAAAUCGACCAUGGGUCAUUUGCACUAAAAAGUUUUGAAAACUACCUGGUAGCCUAGGUCACACUAAAAACGUGUCGGUGUGAAAUUAACCGCCAAAUCGAGUCCGAUUUCAGAAAUUGGAAGCUCUGUCAUGUCACAAGCUAUUUUAGGAAUGUCAGCUCAUCCUCCGAGAAAUUUUCAAAGAUUCCGAGAUUUUUACGGAAAAUUAACAGAAAUUCAGAUUGGCCGAAUUGAAUAAAUUUUUGGACUUGCAAGCUGAGCUAUUUGAUGAGGGGCACUUGUGAAAAUUCUACCGGCUUUUUCUUCAUUCAAAUUGGAAGUUGAAUUGGAGAAUUUUAGGAAGAAUUGAACCCGAAGUUGUGAAAAUUCGAAGCUAUGGAAGGGGUUGGAUUUUUUUUACUUCAAAUUGGGGUAAUUUGUGGAAUAUAAAGCUGGAAAGUAUUAAGGGACUUUGAGAUAGACUUGAACACCAAAGGGGGAACCAAGCAUUUAAGUCUUUGAAUAAUCAUGUGGACUUUUGGUCUCUCUCUCUCCAAUCUCCUCAUGUCUGCUAGCUGUUUCCUUUCCACUUUCGUGCGCGAGCCUUCCUCCUUAAAACAGCUGACCACCAAGGACCCCUGCUUCUCCAUUUUUCAUUUUGUUCUUCUUCAAUUCCUGCCCAUCGUUUCUUUCAUUUGUUCCUCUUUCCCUCGAGCAAAACCGAAGCACCACCUUCCGUUUUCCCAAUCCACCAAAGCUUCAUUCAACGUAGCAAGAUCCCAAGCGGUUUUGUUGACUCCAUGCUCGCUGCUCCAACAUCGGUCCCUCUUCGUCCCUGCUCCACUACCGAAUCAAUCUAGCGAAGCUGAAGCAGCUCGCCUUCUCUCCACUUUUGCUUAUCCCCUCUGCCGCGUGUCUCCUGGUUGUCUGCCCAACAACCUCAAGCAGCUUCAUCUUCGCUGCUUCGUUCUUCUUCAACGUCACUACUUGAAGACUCCAACGAAGUAGCUGUCCACGAAGACUGAAACACCCCCUAAUUGAGAGCUGCAACCACGGGUCCCAGCAUUUCCUUUCGUUCGUUGCUCCUUCGUCCAGCAUCGAUCAACCAAAGCAGCACCUCCAGCGAUUCGGCCCAGCACAUUUGUGCGUCUUCAGCCCACACAAUUUCAGCCCAAAUUCGGUCCAUCUCAGCUUGAGUGAGCCCAGCAGUUGGGCCAUUGGAAGCCCACGAAAAUUUGCAGCAAUCCAGCCUAGUGAAGCAAUUACUCAGCCCAUUAAAUAAGUCCAACAGCCCAAGUCUUAGCCCAGUAGCAAGCCCACGCCUUGUAGAAACCCAGCAAAAUCAGAAGCCCAUGAUUUUGAGGCCCAAGCCCGCGAAGACUACCCGCUUUAGGCCCAGUCCAAUUCAAAAGCAAAUCUCAGAUUGGACUGAGAUUUUUUGGGCCUGUUUGAGGCCCGGCCCAAGUCCGCCGACGCCGCCAAAGAUUCAGAUUUUGGCCGCCAUCACACCGUCGUCGCAGUGAACCAGUAUUCGUAAUUAACCAGUGAGUUUAUACUCUAAACUCUGCUUAGUAGGCUAAUGACGUUUAAGGGGUAUUUAGAUUUAUUUUAUUAGGAAUUAGGUGGUUAGUUAGAUUAAAUUAGAAAUUUAAUUAUUUAAUUGAGCAUGUUAGGUGGUUAGCAUGGUUUAGCUAAGAUUUAAAUAAAUUGUACUGUUUAUCUAGAAGGGUUCGGGAAUUUUCUAAGUCCGUAUUGGUAUUUAAUUUAAUAAUGUUGGCCUAGGUUAGUAUUUUUAGAAAUUAAAUUGAAUUAAUUAUUUAUUUAUUAUUUUUCUGGAAAUUAGGCCGGGAUAGCUAGUGACCGGAAUUUUGUGCUAGUUGCAAUGGCAUGGUUAAAUUCUACAAUUGAGUGUUAAAUUAUGCAAAUUGAGUGCUGAUUGAAUUUUUGGUAGUUAAUUCCAAAAAUUGUGAAUUUCCAAUAUUUAUCUAGAAAAUCCCAGGUGUCGAGUUUUGGCACCGAAAAUAGUUUUUAGUACUAUAUGAAAUAGUGGGAUUUCAAAAAAGGAAGAAUAUCAAUUUUUCUGGAUCAGGUUGACUGUGUACCCACACACGAGUAAUUUCAUGUGAAUUUCUAAUAUGAGGAAAAAGGCCAUGCUUACCAUUUUAAUUGAAACAUUUGAGUACAAUGCAAGGUGCCCUAGGUGAUAUUUGAGUGAUCGUGUAAUGGUUAAGAGAAAUCAUCCCGAGCUGUUAAGCUGGACGUUAUCCCUAUUCGGGAUACCCCCUGGACAACGGAAAGCCGGUCGCAGUAGAUUCUAGACCCUAUGCUCCUUCAGGAAAGCCGUCUGAUAAAGAGACGUGCCGUGCUCAAUGGGGUGAGACAAUGCUUGGCAAUGCCAGAAGACCACCGAACAAAGAGUAGACCGUGCUAUAUGCCGAGAUCAAAACUAGAAAUGCAUAAUUAAUUGAGUGUGGCGUUUUAGUUAUUGGAGCUUAUUUGUUGCUCAUGCUCUCAUGUUGUCUGUGAGAUAAAUUGUACUGACCUGUAGGGUGAAUCUGAGACGAUGUAAGUUUCCUUGAUUGUGUGAUUGUGUGAUUAGGAUACUUUUGGGCGAAUUUCCCUCCUAAUCGGGGUUUAGAGCUUAGACUCGCUGAGAUGAUAUCUCACCUCGUUGUAGGACAACAUUUUCAGGGUCAUCGAGUGGAGGACUGGGAGCCGAGAGGAGGUGAUGUGAAGUGUAGGUCAGCUAAGACCGUCUCUUUUUGGAAAGUUGGUUUUUCGUAUCCUGCUUUUCUAUCUCGAGAUGAUUAUUGUUAGGGGAUUUCUUUUUGCUUCCGCAUGUACAAUAAAAUAGAAAGGGUUGGCGACUCGUCUUGAGAAGUCGCAAAUUAUUAUUGACUAGGUAGGAAUGGGCACGCGCUCAGGUUCGAGGCGUGACAGGAUAAACUCUGAUUCUGCUACAUCGUGAUUGCGAAGUCGCAGGCCUUCCAUCGUACACUUCACGUUUAAAUAAUGAUGAUUCAAUUAGUGCGCUUACAUAUGGAAGCUGGACAAAUUCAAUAAGUCAAGGUCUUCGUCCAGCAGGCACCUCAAAAGUCAACAAGUCAAGGUCUUCGGACAUGUAUUGAUUGCUGGACGAAUCCACACGAUUCGUCUAGAGUAAUCGUCGUCUUUUGUUGUUUUCGUGAUGUCGGACCUUUAGCCAUCGAAAAGGAAACGUUGGUCAAUUUGCCGUCUUUGAUUGACUAGCAAGCCUCAACUAAACCGAAACGAUCCGGAAUAAUACGCAGGGAAUAUUCUUAUGUUGCCAAAUAUUCAUGGCAACGACAACACAUUAUCACUUAUCAUACAUUCUGAUCUUAGUAAAAUGAUGAAAAAUAAACAACUGUCCGACAAAAUGCUUCUUCACUCCUUAGUAAUAGCUACUUAGGUAAAUUCUAGCCUAGCUAGUAUAGAAAUUUUUUGACGUGACUUAAAAUUGCGGAAGCAGUAUACUUGAUAUAGCUCAAACGCGUUCGGCGAUUCGCAGGAUCAUUGUAUCAAUCAACUCUUCACUUGUUGGAAUUUAGUUGCUAGUAUUGGGACAAGUACUUCGUGGUCCUUGCUCUUUUUUGGGGCUCGACGAAGUUCCAAUGAUCCACCUUCCCACCAUACUCAUUGAUUAUUUUCUUGGAGCUGCGAAGUGAAAUUGAAUGGAAUGGCUGGGCCAACGCAAGUCUUGGAGCUAGAAAAGCUUUCCAAACUCGUUUCAUUGUGGGUCGUGACUUCGGAUCACUUCUUAAGCAAGUAAGCACCAGAGAAAUUACCAAAAUGAUAUAUCUUGCGAUGGAAUUCGCUCUUGGGAUUGGCAAGCGCAGGUCUAAUAUUUGAUGUAGCAUAAUUUUUUUUCUAACGAUUGUCGAGGGUGCUCACCCAUUAUUAUUUCCAUUGUUACCACCCCAAAACUUUAUGUGUCACAUUUCUCAUUAACAACCAAAGUGUAAGCAAGCUCUGAAAAAAAGAACAAAAAGUUUUAAAAUUAGAUGAGGCUCAAAAUCAAGUUGUCAAUUUAGCUAAGCACUAUCAACCAAAUAUAGCCAUGUACCUCUAGUAAAAACAUUCUAGAAGUGUCAGGAUCAUUGCUCACCCGGUGCUGUUCACCACAUGAGGGGUAAAAUAUAUCAAAUAUAGCCAUGUACCUCUAGUAAAAACAUUCUAGAAGUGUCAGGAUCAUUGCUCACCCGGUGCUAUAUGUCCACGAAAACCUACAAUAUUUGUGUGAGAUUGGAUGAGAAAUUAGGUUUUAUUACCAUGCUGAAGUUUGUUACGAAAGCUUGUAAUUUGUUGUUGAGCAAAAUAUUGUUCCUAGAUAUGUCAACAAUUGGCCAAGCACAAUCAUGGUACAAGUAAGACAAGGCAUGUGUCAUAUCCUAAACAACAUUGAUUCUUUUAAACCAAUCUAGUUCCACUGCUUCAAUUUCAUUUCUCAAAGCAUAAAAUAGACUCUCCCUUUUCAUGUACUCAUAAAUCAAGAACAUGAAUCGCUUGUGUAAAUAGAAAUCAUGGAGCUUAAUUAUGCUUCUAUGUCAUACUUAUGUUAAGUGUUUCACUUCAUUUCGGAAGCUCUUGUCAAAAGAUGGGUCCUUUGUUUCUAGAUAGUGAAGUUUUUUCAAUGCCACUAUUUUCCCAUUGGGCAAGUGUGCUCUAUAGACACUAUCAUAAUUGCUGGUCCUGAUGCAAUAUUUGAUGGUAAAAUCUUCUAUUUUAUUAAUUAUGUCUUCAUUUGCAGUUCUCCCAUCAUAAUUACAUAUUGACAAGAAAAUUUCCAUUUUUUUCUACUAUCUCUAAUCACAUACUCUUCAUUCUACAUCCAGAUAUGAAGCAAGACCCAAGAAAUAUCAGUAGUAUAGCCAUAAGUUAUGUAAUCAAGUCAUAUCCAAAACCUUACACAUGAUAAUCACAGUUAUAAGCUUAAUGGUAGGCAUUCUUCUGGAGCCUUUCAAAAUUAAUCUUUUAGGUUAUUUUCUCCUUAAAGUGGAAGCCUUUCAAUUUAGAAUUAUGCUCAAAAUUGAUCAAGCUCUUAGGGCUCUACCUUAGGGUUUCAAUUGUCUUUAGAGAUGAAUGCCCUUAAUGCAUGCUUUCUGUAUGUUGAUGGUUUCCCUUUGUCUUAGUUAGCAAUGGCAUGCUCCUUAUUUGAUAAUGCUAGAUUCUUACUCUCCUGAUGCAAUUUAUCUGAUGUGACUCCAGUCACUGAUUGUUAUAUUACUGUUUGUGCAAGCGUAUGGUCACUUUCCAUGUUAGUGGAUUGGUCUAAAAUUAAUCUAAACAACCUGACAAAUAUAUAUAUAUUUUCAAAUAAACAAGAUUAGGUACCGAAAGAGCAAUAAUUAUUUAAUUAGCGUAAUCAAGUCAUUGACCUUUAGAUUUUCUAGUUAUGUAGGAAGUGAAAUACAUUUUUAUGUCUCACUUAAUUUCUAGCCGACCCCAAUAGGCUAGUAGUGACUUUUUUAUUACAAAAUUCUUAUGAACAUCCCAAUGUGCAGAAGGUAUGGGCUUGGGAGAGCCCAUGCCUUCCAUCUUUUAAGCAAUAUUCCUAAAUCUAUUCCUUGUCCUGAAGGGGAACUCGCAACAAUCACAUGUCACAAGUCAUUGAGAAAGGUCCUCCCCCGGAUGUAACACGGCGGAUGCAAUUUCUCCUUUAUUUACUUUUUCUCUAGCAUUUUGUCUUGUUCUUCGAAAGACUUCCAGACGCCUCGAAGUCUUCUUGCACCGAGAAAGCGGUACGAGUCUCAUAUCACCGUCGCCACAUCUCCCUAUACUCGACAUUACAUGGUCAUGAGGCGUUGGGCCCAUGGUUUUAGUGUAGAUACAACCCAAACGUGCAUGAAUCAGAUGCACAAGAUCCCACUAAAUUUCAAUUGUUAGAUGACGGUUGUCUUAUAUUUCUUGGGUUCGAGUACAGGCCAACCGUGUCUAAAGCGAGCGUGAAAACGAAAAGGUCUUCUCACAGGUUAGUACGAGGCACGUUCAAUUUUAGUGGCGUAACACAUGUUGCUUUUGUUUGAUCUCAUAGAAGGGGGACUUCGCAUCUAAUAUAUAGGAGAAAAAGUGGAUCUGCAAUAGGAUUAACUAAUUCACAAGCAAAGGACAAUACAAAUGAGUGAGUCUUAAGCUGAAGUAUUCUAAGAAGCUUACAUCCUAAAGAAGUUUCGGCCCCUCCGUCGAGAAAUAAUAAUACUCCUUCAAAAAUCAAUAACUUUCAACGAUUCAAUCAGAACUUAAACCACCAACAGGCAUGCUACCUUGUUGGUAAAGGGAUUGAGGGGUGGGGUCCAAGAGUACUGGACCCGAUGUUUGAUCUCCAUGAUUAUCGCAUAUACAUGUACAUAGAAGAGAGGAUAGAAGGGAGGAGUGAGAAAAAAAAAGUCAGAACUUAAAUGAGAACGCAUUUUUUCAAUGGUACUUGUACCCGUUCAUCAAGAAGUCAAGGUCUUAUGUGGAGAGUAUGCAAUUCGAGUGUCACUAGAAGUCAUGGUCUUCGUGGUUUUAUGUGUAGAUUUUCGGACCGCGAGAACUACAACAUGCAGCGGGUCCUUUGGGGUUUCAUAUGUUGAUUUUCUGGACGACUACGUGUUUCAUGGUUCGUGAGAAGUGAUUGCCUUACAGAGACUUUUUGCCGAUGUUUGGCCUUGGAAAAUACUCAUCUUUUAUGGAGCGAAAUAUUAUAUCAAAUACACUUACUCUAUGAGUUCAUCUGAAUAUAAUCAAUUACAUUAUGGAAAUUGUGAAUGGAUACUCGUGUUUUAUAUUGGAACUAGAGUCGGUUUUGUCUUUUCUUGAUGUAUUGUUCAUUGAAAAGAAGAAAAAUAAACGGACGUCAUAUAUAAACUGCAUCUCACUCUUACAGCAUAGAAUGGAAAAGAGUUUAACAAGACUUACUAAUUUGCAGAAGCCAUACAAUUUUAUAUGCUCGAUCAUAUUCACCAAAUUGCAGCUUCAUUAUCAAUUGUCUCUUUACUAGACAAGCACUCAAUGACCCUUACUCCUCACUCUGUCCUGAUGAAGCUUCUGUUGAUUCACCUUCCAACCGUGAUCUAUUAACAUAUCGGAGCUGAGCCAGUGAGAUCUCAUGGAAGGGCUUCGCCAAUGGUGACUUUCGAGCUAGAAAAGCUUUUGAGACUUGCUUCAUAGUUGGUCGAGACUUUGGAUUAGCACUCAAGCAAGCAAGCACUAGAGAAACUAUCAAAACAAUACUUCUUGCAACAGAGUUCUCUCUUGGACAAGGCAACCGCCUGUCUAGAAUUUUAUGUAGCAUUAUCUUCUCUAGAGGAUGUCAACAAGAUAGAUAUAAUAUCUCCUGGAUGCUCACCCAUCAUUGUUUCCAUUGCUACCACUCCAAAACUAUAUACGUUGCAUUUCUCAUUAACGACCAAAGUAUAUGCGAGCUCUGAAAAAAAAAUUAGUAGUUGAGGCUUUGGACGGGAUGACUACACCCUUAACUGCCCGCCCCGUCGCUGCACCUUGAGAGGCAACUUUUCCCUCUCCAUCGUGCCCCGCAUAACCAUGUGCGGCACCCCAUACUGCCCCAUUUGCCCCUCCAAUUUUCCUUUCAAAGCAGUUAUUUUAUUUCCACAACAAAAUGUUUAAUAGAAAUGAAUGACUUAGUAAUACCAAUAUGGAUGUAAUACAAAAUCCAAAAAUCUUACUAUUCCGACAUGCUUUUACUUAGAUGCAACAUAAAAAUAUAGUUUGAGACAUUUUUAUUCUAAAAUAAGUAACCUAGUAAUACUAACAAUAGUAGCAUACAAAAUAAAUAUUCAUUUUCCGAAAAUAUAUAAAUAUAUAGAAAUGAAUAAAAUGAAUACAGGAGUCAGAGCCACGGCGUAAAAGGUGGUUCCGAGGGGACAUUUUGCCAAUCGUGGCACAACCAAUCCUUAGCUAAUGUUGGCAAGUACAAUAACAGUCUACAAGUCACUGAUGUGCAUGGAUAGCGAAACUUCUACAAUGUCGUUUAUUUGACUUCUACCUCUAGUAGUAACUUUCAGGGUAAUAUAUAUAUAUAUAUAUAUAUAUAUAUAUAUUUGCAUAGGUGCCAGCGAUAUUUGCAGUGAAGUUAGAUGAGGAAUCAUGACCUAGAAGUCUCGCGGUGCCAAAAUCUGAUACAAAAGCUUGCAUUUUACUGUUGAAUAAAAUAUUAUUGCUAGAUAUGUCUCGAUGAACAAUUGGCCGAACACAAUCAUGGUGCACGUAAGACAAAGCAUGUGCUGUAUCCUAGAUGUAUCCUAGACGAGAUUGACUCUUUUGGACCAAUCCAAUUCCACGGCUUCAAUACCAUCUCUCAAAGCACAUAAUAGACUCCCAUUUUCCAUGUAUUCGUAAACUAAGAACAUGCAUCACCUAUGUAAGCAGAAACCAUAGAGCUUGAUUAUGCUUCUAUGCCUUAUUUCUGUCGAGUGUUUCACUUCAUUUCGAAAGCCCUUGUCAAAGGAUGGGUCCUUUGCUUCGAGAUGGUGAAGUUUCUUCAAUGCCAAAACUUUCCCAUUGGGCAAUCGUGCUCUAUAAACGCGAUUAUAACCACCAAUCACGAUGCAAUAUUUGAGAUUGAAGUCCUAUGUUGCAUCAAUUAUGUCUUCAUAAGCAAUCCUCCCAUCAUAAUUCCAUGUUGACAAGAAAUUUCCAUUUUUCAAUGUAGUCUCCGGUUGCUCUGUUUUGUUGCACGUCAAAAUAGAAAGCAAGAUCCGACCACUAUACAAGAAAUCGCAGCCAGUGGAAUGAACACCGUCAUAUAAUGAAUUACGCUAGACCUUCUUCUGGGGGCUUGGGUUUCAUGAAAUAGGUUCAAAUCUUUAUUGCCGAGAAAAGCAGUAUCAGGAAAAACAACCCUAAGAUUAUUUGGAAUGGAGCUAGAAAGAGAAUUGUUGUGAAGAUCGAGAUAGAAUAACAAGCUCAGUUUCCCAAGUUCAACAGGGAUUUCCCCGACCAAGUUGUUGGAGCUCAAAUCUAGUUGUUCGAGAUUCCUUAAAUCUCCCAUUUUCAAUGGGAUGGCACAAUCAUUCUAUUUUCACAUAAACUCAAGUUGACCAAGCUCUCCAAAUUGCCUAUUUGUGACGAAAUACAUCCACCGAGUUCGUUUUCUUGCAAAUGGAGAUAAAUCAAGCUCAUCAAAUUCCUUAUUUCUGGAGGAAUAGAUCCACUCAGUUGGUUUCCUCGCAAAUCGAGAUAACUCAAGUUCCUCAAAUUCCCUAUUUCCGACGAAAUAGAUCCAUCAAGUUGGUUUUCUUGCAAAUCGAGAUCGGUCAAGCUCAUCAAAUUCCCUAUUUCCGAAGGAACAGAUCCACUGAGUUGGUUUCCUCGCAAAUCGAGAUCAGUCAAGCUCAUCAAAAUCCCUAUUUCCAGAGGAAUAGAUCCAUAGAGUUGGUUUCCUUGCAAAUUGAGAUCAGUCAAACUCACCAAAUUCCCUAUUUUUGAAGGAAUAUAUCCAUAGAGUUGGUUUCCUUGCAAAUUGAGAUAAGCCAAACUCACCAAAUUCCCUGUCCAAAGGAAUAAAUCCACUGAGUCAGUUUCCUCGCAAAUCAAGAUCAAUCAAACUCGUCAAAUUCCCUAUUUCUAGAGGAAUAGAUGCAUAGAGUUGGUUUCCUUGCAAAUUGAGAUUAGUCAAACUCACCAAAUUCCCUAUUUUCGAAGGAAUAGAUUCAUGGAGUUGGUUUCCUUGCAAAUUGAGAUCAGUCAAACUCACAAAAUUCCCUAUUUCCGGAGGAAUAGAUCCAUUGAGUCAUUUUCCUUGUAAAUCGAGAUCAGUCAAGCUUGUCAAAUUCCCUAUAGAGGAUGGAAUGGGACCAGUGAAGUUGUUGAAACUUAAAUCAAUAGAAUCCGUUUUUGUGAGGUUCCCAAGUUCAAGAGGGACAAAGCCACUUAAAUUGUUCAAGCUAAAUCCAAGGAAUCGUAAAUUGUGCAAGCGACCAAUAGUUAGAGGGACUGCACCAUUAAGAAAAUUGAACUCAAGAUUCAAGGCGUUCAAUCCCUCCAAAUUUUCCAACUCAUGAGGGAUAGAGCCAUUGAUGUAAUUACCACCGAUAUCAAGAAUUUGAAGCCUAGUGAGGUUUUGGACACAUGGAGGCAACUCACCAGUGAGGGAAUUGGAGGACAAGUCAAGGUAAGUUAGCCUCGAUAGAGUACAUAUUUGAAGGGGGAUUUUGCUAGCUAGUCCGUUAUAAGAUAAAUUAAGUAAGGUGAGGCUCGGAAGUCAAGAGAAGUUCAUGUUGCUGAAGUUACCGCCUAUUUGGUACCCAUAUGACAAGCGAAUCCCGUUGACGCUCCCAAAGGCAUCGCACAAUACCCCAGGCCACACGCAAUGAGGUAAGGUAGUGUUGUCGGUGACGGGGGAAGGCCACCACCCGCUGUAGAGAAGUGCAUUUGCCUCUGACUAUUUAGAAGGUGCUGGUGCUACAAGAAUUGAAUUGUAGUAGGAGAAAGCUAUAAUGAUCAGUACAGCUAAGGACAUGUUGCAGAUUAUGCUCAUCAUGUUGCAGCUCUAGUCACUUGUUAUUGCCGUAUUCUUUGGAUUACGGCAUUUAAAGAGUAAAGCGAGAAACUGUAGCAACGCCUUGAAGGAAACGCGAUUUCCACAAUUCAAGUGCUAUCUUUUUAUUGACUUGACACUUAAUCUAACUCUUUUAUCCUUGCCUCCCCUCCUUUUUCUUUUGAGAUGAUGGAGUUGCCAUCAACUAGUAGGGCUGUAAAAGAGGAACUAAUUACUAAAAAUUGAAUUAGGUUGUGAAGCAAUCCAAGUUUCAGCACCCCCGCAAACCAAAAACUAUGUAUCAAAUAUCUUCACUACUUUUUAUGUCCUUGCAUAGUCACAUUGCUUCAUCAAGGGGCUAUUCUAUUAUUUCGAACCCAAAAAAAAGGAAGGAAAAAAGGAUCUUUCUUUCCGUGCUCUUAAAUUCCUAAAAGAGUUGGUAANNNNNNNNNNNNNNNNNNNNNNNNNNNNNNNNNNNNNNNNNNNNNNNNNNNNNNNNNNNNNNNNNNNNNNNNNNNNNNNNNNNNNNNNNNNNNNNNNNNNUCUUCAUCGGGUAUGAUUUUAUGCCAACAUAAAAUGAGCAAUAAUAAUAUUAUAACGUUUUAAGUAAUCAUUAAGUUUCAUAAUUUUUAGCUCACGUCAGUUACAUAGGUGAUUCUUUUACUAGAAAUUCAUAUGUAGCGUUGAUUCCUGGCAAUCAAUUGGAUGGUUUAAUAUUAAAUUAUUGCCAUAAAGAAUUUUCAAGUUAAAAAACCGUUAUUGUAAUUUUAGAUAUUCGGUUUUUAAAAGUUACACCUCUAAUUUUCAAGCAAACAAAAUAUUCUGCUCUUGUAAAUCUCUGAAUGUUGCAGUUUUGUGAUUCAAUUAGAAUUUAAACAAGCAUACUGGCCAAAAGAAAAGGAUUUAAACCAUGUAAGGAUGGAUUUUGUAAACAUCCAUCAAGAAGUCAAGAUGUUUUGGGGUUUUACGUGUGUUGACUUUUGAUUAGUAUGUGGUCAAUGGUUCAUGGGAAGUCAAGGUCUUUAUGAUACUUUUACCGGGUGAUGUUUGGCCUUAAAAAUUUCUAACCCAUCGUAAGGGAAAGGUCAUGGACCAAUUUUUCAGCUUUUUCUUCUUUUGACAAACAAGCCUUCGACUUAGAAAGAGAAAGAUCCUUGUAAUUCCAAUCACACUGUAAAUAUCGAAUCACAUUGUGCAUCAAUGAUAGUAACCCUAUUGGAAUCAUUUCUCAAAGCACGUAGUAGACUUCCCCUUCCGUCGUGUACUUGUAAACCAAGAACAUGCAUCACUUGUGCAAGCAGAAACCAUGAAGCUUCAUUAUGCUUAUAUAUCAUACUUUUGUAAUUGUUUCACUUCAUUUAAGAAGCUCUUGCCAAAAGAUGGGUUCCCCGUUUCAAGAUGGUGAAAUUUCUCCAGUACCACGAUUUUCCUUGGGCAACCACGCCAUAUAGAUACUACCAAAACAUCCACUCACUAUGCCAAUAUAUGAUGUUGAACUCUUCCGUUGAAUUGAUUAUGCCUUCAUAUGCAAUUCUCCCAUAUAAUUCCUUAUAACAAGAAAUCUCCAUGUUUCUCUGAUGCCUCUAAUUGCAUGCUUUUGUUGUACAUUGAAAUACGAAGCCAGGCCUAACAACUAGAUGGGGAAUUUGUGACAUCCUGAAUUUCAGGUUUUCUUUUCAAUUGAAUAAGUUGGGUUUUUUAUCGACGUGCCUAUAAUUCUUUUUCCUUGAGUUAAUCACUCAUAGAAUAACUAGUCUAUUUGAUGAAGCUGUUAAGGGAUUUUAACGCAAUAAACUUAAGAAUUCGACCAGAAAUCGACUACUCAACCAUGCUAAUCUCUAAUGCUCAACCGUGCUAAUCUCCAAGGAUCAAUAAGGCACUAUCAAAUUGAUCAGAGAUUAGAGAUAGGUCAAUUCGACUGAGGUAUGUGAUCAAAAUGUGAGUGAUUCCACCUAAUUGCAAAAUUCUCGUCAAACGGCACUAAACUGAUUUUUCUGUCAUUUUUGUACCUUAUGCCCGUAUUUGAAAUCUCGAGAUUUUCAUGACAAUCAAAAGUUGCCAAUGAAUCGAAGAUGUAUAAUGUGGCUCGAAAAUAAUUGAUCACGGGUCAAUUGCACUAAAAAAUUCCUAAAAACUACCUGGUAGGCUAGGUUACGCUAAAAUCGCACCCAGUUGAAAUUAACAACAAAUUUAAACCCGAUUUUAGAAAUUGAAAGUUCUAUCAUGUUAUGAUUUAUUUUAAGAACGUCGACUCAUCCUUCGAAGAUUUUUCAGCAAACCCGAGAUUUCCGUGAAAAAUCAAAGUUGAGUAUUUGACUGGGAAAUACAGGCGUUUUUGUCGCAUUUUUGGCGUCAGUUGGUCAUGACAAGGAAAAAUCAUGAGAUAGACGAUGGCACUUGGCUGAUUUUAUGGACUCCAAUUUGAGUCUAAUUUGAGGGGAAUUGAGUGAAAAUAAAGGUCAAAUGCCACAAAAUUCGUAGCUAGGGGGUGCUGCAACUUUAUGGACCAUUUGGGAGACUUCUUGAGGAAGCCAUGGAGGGGAAAUUGGCUGAGGAUGACAGCCUUGGCUGGUGGGGGCAAGCAAUGAGCACAAUGGGAUAUUUUCUUGGACUUUUGAGGCAAUUGGGCCCCCUUCAAGCUUCAGCUGGCUUCUUCUUCUUCAUUAGGCCUCCUUUAUCCAUUGUUGAGGCAUUUGAGAGCUUGAGACAAACAAAGAAUAGCCAGCAGCUUCCUCCUUCACCGUCGACCGCCUCCCCUACCGUCGCCGUGCCCAUCGCUGCCACUCACGAGCCGCACACCAGCUCACGCACCGUCCGCCGUCCUGCAUUGCUCGUGUGCCUUGGUUUCUAUCCUGAGCUACCCAAGCCACUAUCGCAGCUCACCUAGUCGUCGUCCAUCCCCGUUCAACCACCAUCCGUCACCGUCAAGCCAGCUUAGAGUCAUUGCAGCCACCGCCACCCAUCCCGUGCCGUUUCAACUGCUCAACCCAGCCUUUCUCGGCCCAAAGCAAAAGCUAAAGCUCAGCCCCAAGCUAAGGCUUCGUGGCUCAUUUUAAGGCCCGUCCAGACCUUCGUUGGUGUCGUCGUAGGCUCGAGUGUUACUCACCUUUGCAUCACCAUUGCCGUCGAUGAUCCCUAGGUUGCAGCACAUCCAGUUGAUAACCGGCCCACUAAACAGGUGAAUUUACUUGUUAAACUCUGCUUAAGGAGUUAAUGACGCUUAGUGGAUAAUUAUUUUAGGCUAAUUAGGGAUUAUGUGGUUAAUUAGUUUGGAUUAGUGAUUUAAUUUCUUAAUUAUGCAUGUUAGGUUGUUAGAAUAGAUUGAUUAUGGGCUCAAGAGGUUGUGCUAUUUAUCUAGAUAGGUGCAUUAAUUUUCUAGGCCCGUUUAGGUGGUUAGAUUAGUGUUUCCAGCCUAAGUUAGUAUUUAUUGGAUUUAAAUUGCGUUACUUAAUUAUUUUUGCUAUUUAUUUCAUCAUUUAAUAUUUUCCAAAAAUUAUACCGGGAUAGUCCGUGACCAUAAUUUCGUGCUGAUUGCAGUGGUGUGCAUAGUUUAUGCAAUUGAGUGUUAAUUUAUGCAAAUUGAGUGGUGAUUGUGAUUUUGAGUAUUUAUUUCAAUAUUUAAUUAGAAAAUCCUGUGUCACGCCCCGAACCUCGAGUGCGUGCACAUCCCUCGGUGGUCGAUAACAUUUGCGACGUCCCAAGAAGUGUCACCGACCCAUUAAUUUUAUUGCACAUGCAAUAGCGUAAUAACAAUCUCCAACCAACAUAAAAGUGGGAUAGAAACGUAGGAUAAUAUUUUCACAAAACACACUUAUAAUACAGCAACGUUUAUAUACAGAAAAGUCUAACACAACAUGGGUCUAUUUCAAAAUGAAGAGCUACUAGGCUAUCUACGUUUUAAGCUCCUCGUCCACGUGACCACAGUCCCCUAUGACCCUAUCAGACUUCUAGAUAUCCAUAGGGUGAACUGUCACCCACCGUCCAGUCCCAACGGAAUGCCCGUCAAAACCUAGUAGGGGAUAUAGAGGGACGUAAACUCCACCUUAUGGCGAAAGGGUAUAAUCAACAUAAACGAAUUGAUUAUGAGGAAACCCUUUUUCCUUUAGUGAGAAUUAUCUCAAUUCGCGUUAUUUUGACAAUAGUGACUAAUAUGAAUAUUGAAUUACAUCAAAUGGAUAUAAAUACUACUUUUUUCAACGGAGAAUUAGAAGAACAAAUUUAUAUAGAACAACCGUUGGUUUCAUUUCAAAAGGUUAAGAACAAAAGGUAUUUGAUAUCAAUAUAUGGCUUUAAGCAGUCAUAGAGACAAUGAUGUAUAUGUUUUCAGAAUGUUAUAAUUGCAUAUGAUUUUACAAUGAUUGAUGAGGAUUAUUGCAUAUAUAUCAAAAGGUCCAAAGAUUAAUUGUGAUUAUAUCAUUAUAUGUUGAUGAUACACCAAUUGCCAGAAGCAAUAUGGACUUUGUUGAUACUAUUAAAGUUUGGUUAUCUUUCAACUUUGAGAUGGGAGAUAUGGAUGAGGCUACAUAUAUUUUUGGAGUUAACAUUUUCAAUGGAUCAUUCUAAGAAAUCAUUAUAUCUUUUACGAGAGACCUAUAUAAAUACAGUUCUUGAACGAUUUCGUACGCAAGACUAUAAACCCAUAAAUAAAUACUAUAAACCCAUAAAUAUUCUUAUUGCAAAAAGUGAAAGAUUAAGCUAUAGACUAUGUCCAAAGAUUCCACAAGAGAAGGAACAAAUGCAAUUACUUUUUUAUACUAGUGUUGUUGUAAGCUUAAUGUACGUUAUGAUGUGUACAAGACCUAGCACAUGUUUUGUAGUUAGAAUGGUAAGUAGGUAUCAAUCAAAUCCAAGUCAAGUAUAUUGGACAGCCAUCAAAAGAAUACUAAGGUAUCUGAAUAGAACUAUUGAUUAUUCAUUGAGUUAUCAAAAAAAUGAUCUGUGGCUUGAAGGUUACUUUGAUGCUGAUUGGGAAGGAGAUUUACAUGAAAGGAAAUUUACCUAUAAAUUUAUUUUCUUACUUAAUAAUGAUGUUAUAUCUUAGAGUAGUAGGAAACAAAUGUGUAUAGCCUUGUCCAUUAUAAAAGCCGCGUUCAUGGCAUUAUCAGCAGUUGUACGAGAAAAUGUUUGGUUUAAGAGAUUUUUGGAUCAUUUAGGCGUUGCCAAGAAUGUUGUAAGCUCAUUGUAGGUUAACCGUGAUACCCAAGCACCGAUAGCAUGCACCAAAGAUCUGGAACAUCAUAGCAAGACCAACCAUAUGGAUACCAAGUACAACUUUAUUAAGGAUACGAUUACACAAAAAGAUGUGAACUUAUAAUACAUAUCUACGCAUAGAAUAAUAGUAGAUUCUAUAACAAAGCUAAUACUUAGAGAUGUUUUCUAUGGUCAUGUAAAAUCUUUAGGACUGUGUAGAGGCCGAUGUACCGAAUAUUACAAUUUCCUAAGGUGUUCACAUUUAAUGAAGUUAUCUUUUCAUUAUUAAUGCCUAUGAUUUUUUUUAUUUGACGUUUAUGCAUCUUAAUGCUUAGUGCAUUGUAGAAUUGAGAAAGUAUGUUGAAUGGAUAAGAGAUUAGCCUAUUCACACAUAUAAUCGCCUCUAUUUACUGUAUGAUAAAUAGAGAUGAAACAAUUUUUAAGCUUAUUAUCUGGAUGAUAAUUGAAAGCUCAAGUUUAAAAUAUAGAUGUUGCCUUAACUAAGUAUUAAGAUAAGAACAUAAUAUUUACUAUAUUAUAAAAUAAAAUAACCCACAUAUUUUAUUUUAUCUAUCUUUGAUGCCAGAUGUGAGUUCUAAUGAAUUCUUUGAAAGAGUAGAUACGUGAACUCAAGUUAAAUAUUAGGUANNNNNNNNNNNNNNNNNNNNNNNNNNNNNNNNNNNNNNNNNNNNNNNNNNNNNNNNNNNNNNNNNNNNNNNNNNNNNNNNNNNNNNNNNNNNNNNNNNNNAUACUAGUGUUACCUCAAAUGAAGUAAUUAUCUGACAUGAUCGGUCAUGAGACUAAAAACUUACUAUCCUAAUUGGAGUUAGACUAAUAUAGAACUUUUGUAUAUAAUAAAAUAGAGCUAUUUGAAACUUUCAAUUCGAAUAAUUUUCAUGGAUUCGUGCAAACCUCUUUGAUGAGGUGCAUAAUUUUUUUCCACAAACCAUUUUUAACGAGGAUGAGCCUGUAAAGCAAAGACCGUUAGGGUGCCAAUUGAAAGGGUUUCAAAGAUCAAAGAGUACAAAAUGUGGGACUUUAAAAAUUAGGAGACCAAAAGUGUAUUUUUAGGGGAAAUUUUGGGUUAUAUUUUUGUGGUCAUCCAUGGAAUCUUCAUACAAUAAAGGGGAAAAUUAUCCAAAAAGUCCUACACUCAUUGCACUUUUGUCAAUUCAAUCUUAAACCUUUCAAUUUUGUCAAUUCAAUCCUAAACGUUUUCACAUUUUGCCAAAUCAAAAUAUUUUCACUUCUUACCAGUUGAGUCCAUCCAACCAAUUUUAGCCGAAAAUUACUAAUGUCGAUGGCUAGUGCUAACGUAGCAAUUUUUAAUAAUAUUUUGCAUUUUUUUAUGGUCCUCUCUCUCUCUCUCUCUCUCUCUCUCUCUCUCCAGCCAAACUCCAUACCAAAAAAUUAAAAAAUUAAAAAAGGGGGGGCACCACAAAAAAUUCAACAAAUUAUUAAAAUAUUAUUAAAAAAAUGCAUCAUCAAUACCGGCCGUCCAUGUCAACAAAUUCCAGCAGAAAUUGAUCGGAUUGACUCAAUUGGUAGUAAAUAAAAAUGUUUAUGACUAAAUUAGUAAAAUUGAACAGUUUAUGACUAAAUUAACAAAAUUGAAAAGUUAAGAACUAAAUUGAUAAAAUUAAAAAGUUGAGGACUAAAUAGACAAAAAUGCAAUAGAAUUAAGACUUUUUUAACAAUUUUUCCUACAAUCAAAUCAAAUGAUUUUUUAUUUAUUUAUGAUGAGUCCUUUUCAACUUAGAUUUUCCAGGCUGGUAUAAUUUGAUGGAAUCAAAUCGAUCAACAAAAUGUGUAGCCUAGGGUAGCUACACACAUAGGUUAGGCGCAUCUUCGACAAUAGCUAGCAAGGAAGCAUUCAUGCAUUCCCCAAAGUACAUAUAAAUAAUUCACAAAAUUGGAAUUUUCUGUCCACACAAUAGUGUAUUUGUUGCUUUCGGAUGUCAUAUAUCUUACAUAUGCCAUCAAGAAACGCAAUUUGGAUUUUUUUUUUCCAAUUAUUCCACAUCGUGUAAAUCCAAAUUACUUAGAAAAAAAAGCAGAUUUCGUUCCUUAGGAAGAGAUGAAAAUCUUUAUCCAUGUCCACCUUUCUUGUACAAACUUAAAAAGUAAUACCCCAUCCGCCAUGCAAACGCUUAGACAAAGAGAUUUGGUCUUCGCACACUAGGACAAAUGGAUUUUUACUAGGGUUCUCCCAAGUUUAAAAGAAAAAGAAAAACAAAGGGAGGACUGGAUAAGGAUCUUCACUUGCCUCAGAUGCAACAACCUUAACGUCACCAACUGUUAUUUAAGUUUUAGUUAUAAAUUUAAGGAAAUUUUUAAAUAAUUAAUUGUGAAAGAAAUAUUUAAUCACAGGAAAAAUUGCCCAAUCAAUAUUCAAUUUAAUAGAUGGAUUCAAAUUUAGUCAUUUUUCAAUUAUAUCAAUUUAAUUGUAAGUUUUUGCGUGAAAUUUCAAGGUAAACUCUGGUUAGAUUCGGUACUAAAUUGUUGAUGUGACUUACUAGUUAUUAUCCGUCAUUCUAUGCGGCACAUCGCCGUAUUAGCAAUUUUCCAAAAAUUGCUUAAGGAACUAUAUUGAAUCUUCGCCCAAAAACUUACAACACAUGUCCUAUGUGGCACACCACCAUGUGAGCAAUCUUAAAAAAAAAUUAUUGAAAGGACCAUAUUGGAUCUCGCCUAAAGACUUAGAAUAAAAAUUGGCAAAAUUGAAAUUUUAGAAUUGAAUUAGCAAUUGAAAAAUAGAUUCUUGACUGAUCGAAAAAAAAAAAAAAAAUUAGAACACAUGUCCUGCAUGGCACACCACCAUGUGAGCAAUCUUAAAAAAAUUGUUGAAAGGACUAUAUUGGAUCUCGCCUAAAGACUUAAAAUAAAAUUGGCAAAAUUGAAAUUUUAGAAUUGAAUUAGCAAUUGAAAAAUAUAUUUUUGACCAAUCGAAAAAUUUCCCCUUUGUUCAAUACCACUCAAAUAUUAGGCUCAUGUUUUUUCACCCAUCUUUUGGCUUCUAACAACCCCUUACCACCUUGAAUUGACUAAAUUAUCUCUCGUGGAUCUCAAAUUUAAGAUUUUUUCUUAUAAUCAAUUAAAAUCGUCAUAAUUUUCUUGUCAACAACUAAUUACUUCAUGUAAGCAAGGCAAAGAUAAUAUUCCAUAUAACAUUUUAAUAGCGUAUUUUGAAUGUGCAUGAUAAUAAUUUUUUUCAUAUUUUUAAAUCUUUCAAAAAUAUUUUUAAAAAAAUCAUGUAAUGAUGGUAAGAAAAAUAAAUAAAAGUCAGAAUAUCAGAUUUCACUGAAUGCAUUCUUUAAAACUAAUAGAUGAUUCUUUUAACUUUUACUAGUACUUUGGUUAUUUUCAAUAUAAUGGUUUCCUACCAACCAAAAAAAUAAUAAUAAUGGUUUCCUAGAAAAAAAAAAGAAUUAUACAACUCAUUAACACAAUAAAUUAUUAUUUAUAUGCCAAAUAAAAAAAAUUGGAAAAGAGGGACACCAAUUUCAUCCCAGAUUGGAAAAGAUUUUAAAAAAAAAACGAAAAAGAAGAGAAAAAUGUAGGAAAUAAUCUUAAAUGAAGAUUAAGCCCUAUAUUUGACUUUAAUCUUUAUUGUUUAAGUUGAACAUGGUAGAUUUUUUUUUAGUAAAUUUGAAAUUAAACAAAAAGAAAAAACAAAGAUAAAAAAAAAUCAUUUUAAAUCAAAGCGGGACCCACAAUGGAUAAUUUGGUCAAUUUAAGGUGGUAGAGAGUGUCAAAAGUCAAAAAAAAAAAAAAUGGUUAAAGAAGCGAGAGCCAUAUAUAAUUGCACAUAAAAAGACCGAUUUCACCUUUGCAACGAGCCAAUUGCGAUAAUAUAUUGAUGUAUCAACAUGUCUAAUCCACGAACAAAUCUACCAUGGAUCAUAUCCAGUUGAUUCUUCAGUGUGAAAAGUGAGCACCACCAUUUUGCACCCACAUGCUCAUCUUGACUUUUGUGGAUAACCCAUAUUCCACGAAAGAAAUGCAAAGUGCGCCUCUCGAGAUGUAAAAGAUAGGAAGAAGAUUAUUGAAAGAAGCAAUUAAUCAUCUCCACUUGCCGGCGGUUGACAAAAGAAAAAUGUGGAAACGGACGAGGAGACUUCUACUUUUUGCUUGAUGCAAUUAUAAUAUUAUAAAGCAUCUACGUUCACAAAAGGGACAUGUUUUCCGUCAUCUCAAUCAGAAAAAGUGAUGAUGUUUUAGGAUAAUUGGUUGCAAAAGGGCUCUCACCCUAGAAUCGGAAAUCGAACCACAUAACAAACAACCAACCAUGUUCGUCCAGGAACCAAACUGGAUUGAAUUCGUUUGUCUUGGUCCGAUUUCCAAAUGGGACCAGGACCAAUUGUGUAGACUUUUUAUUUAUUUAUUUGUGUCCUUGGUUGAAAAUGAAGACUUCCUCAAGGAAUUGUAGUAGAAAGCUUGUUAUAGCGGUAGUGCCCAACAUGGUGAUGAGCAUACGCAUAAUCUUUUCGGUCAUCUAAAUUAACAUAAUUUGUAGUGGCCAUCAAUUACCAACUACUAGAGCUUUCAAAAUGGGUCAUAGGCCCAUAUAUUAAUUUAUAUUUAUUGUAAUGGGUUGUAAAUGGGUCACUACAUGUUGAAAUAUGGAUCGAAAAUAAGUCGUAAAAAGAAAAUGUUAAAAGAGAUGGGUCUAGGUGGGUCUGAGAUAAACCCACUUUCGACCCACACAAUAAAUAGGUCUUGGACUAAAUGGGUUACCUAACAAGGUUAAUAUAAUUAAAAACUAGUCUUUUUUAUUUUUUUAUUUUUUUAAAAUUUUAAAAUUUUUCUAUGUUUAUUUUUCUUUUUCUUUUUUCUCUUUUUAUUUUUUAAUUUUUUAUUUUUAUUUUUCUUUCCUGCCAAUGGCCAGCCACUAUUGAGGGACAAGCUUGUCGAUCUGGCCCUUAAUGAGCCUUAAGCUCACCGACCUCUGGCACUAGCAAGACUCAAGCUCGCCAAGCCAGCCAAACUCGAGCUCGCUGAUUUGGCGAGGCUAAAGCCUCACAGACCACUAGCAAGGCUCCAAUCUCACCGAUCUAGCAACACCUGAGCUCGUCAAUAUUGAGUAUUCAAGCUCGCCAGAGAUAUGUGAGGCUUCAACCUCAUCGAUCUAGCAAGACUUGAGCUCAUUGACUUGGCGAGUCCAAACCCUUGUUGACCUUUGGCGAGGCUUGAGCUCGCUUGUAAUUGGCCACCAAUUGUUGCUCGCAUGACCAAGCAAAGAAAAAGCAAAAAGAAGAAAUAUAAAAUAAAAAAUAGUUAACAUAUCGAUCUUUAAAAUAUUUUCUUUUUACUUUUUUAUAAUUUAAAAUAAAAUAAAAAAAUUACCAAAAAAUAAAAGACCAUAGUCACCUUCGGUCUUUUUUUUAUUUUUCUGUUUACAUUUUGCAUUUUAUUUACUUAAAUUUUCAUAUUUUGUUAUUUUACUUUUUUUUUUGUUUGAUAUAAAAUUUUAUGCAAGCAACACAUUAACAUGGAGAGCUUAUGGAUUAGAUGAGUUGGCAUUUACUUUAUAGUUAGGGUUAAGUAUGGAUGUGUUUUACUAAGAUAGGCUAGGUCAAUUAUGGGUUGGAUUGGGUGCGGGUUAGGUAAGGGUCAUUGAAAUUGUAUUGUAUGAAAAUGGGUCGAUAUGGGUCGGACCAUUCUCAAUACGACCCAACCCACCCAUUUGACACCCAUACCAACUUCCACUGCCUGCUUAGUACUUAUGUUUGGCCAUGAGGAUUGGACUGUGUUCACUUCUCGUAUCUUGGUGCUCAUGUCUGAUGGAUAUAUUGUGAGUAGAUUUCAUGUUUUCUACUGAAAGAGAUGAAGAGUAAAACCUGAGAGAGACAAAGACGGAAGAGAUCAAGCCCUAAAUUCAAUAUAGGGCAGCCAGUCCGAUUCCUUGAGCAGAACCGAGAACCAAAUUGGUUCCUGCCAGUCCCAAAUUUCGGGGACCGAGAAUUGCCCAAAACGGGUCAAUUCGGUCCAUUUCCCGGUUGAACUAGAACUGGGGCUCAACCCUAAGAAGUUCCUAUAACCAGGCUUUUCAUUAGUGCUUUCACAAAUACUUACGUUACCAAAAUCUAAUUGUCAUUAAGUUUGCUCGUGAUGAUUUACAUAAUUUGCAUUCCAUUUUUGCAAAUUUACUCCAACCUUAGAAUUUCAUUUUUAUUUGUCCCACUUUGGCUUGGCGAAGCAAACGGUUAGCUACUCAUUGUUUUUGGAACUUUUAAUUGAGUGUUCAUCGAUAACUAGCAACAUGGUUUGAUCUAACGAUACUUAAUCACACAUAUUAAAGAAUAUUGUUAGAGAUAUUAUUUGACAGCUCAAUGCUGUUGGGCGCACCAUAGCCGCCCCACCGUGCACGUCCCCAUCCUCCUCAUAAGCCUCCCGCUGGCCCUUCCGCUCCAUCUCCUCCGCGACCUUAGCACCGAAGAGCGGUUUUCUCCUGCUCAUCCCAUUCCAUGUCCGUAGGUCGCACCGCUACAGGAAAACAGAGGACUAAACGCGAGUAAGAAGAUAAGAAAUGCAUCGGAUGUGGAUACCCGAUAGUAAAAUGAGUUUGAAUUUUUGACUGACCACUGGAUUUUGACACUGAUAAAUAGCGAAGAUUCGUGUUCCACCAGACACCACAGCCACCAUUUCACCAGGAGACCCGAUAGUGAAAUGAGUUUGAAUUUUUGACUGACCACUGGAUUUAGACACUGAUAAUUAGCGAAGAUUCGUGUUCCACCAGACACCACAGCCACCGUUUGACCAGGAGACAAGAACGAGGACGAAAGAGAUCGAAGAGCUGUAAAAAGCAGCCUCGCCACCACGAAUCUGAUGGGCUGAUGUCGGUUUCCAGAACGAAUCGACUUGAGUAUGGGCGUAGAUUAGAAGAAUGCUACUGACCCGACUCCCCCUGUCAUCAAGUCCGAACAUCGUGCUCCAGACACAUGCGAUUUUCUCUCCUACGUUUACCUUAAUACGAGACUAUAGGUAUUUCAUGGCCUCGAGAUCUUCGUUCUACUUAGCAUCCGAAGGAGCCUUUUCCUUCCAAUUUGAGAGAACUCGUUCACAAAAGCACAAACCGAAGAAGCGAUGCGAAUCAUGCGAUCCUGAGCUGUCUAUUGCGCCUGUGCGUGCAUGAAAGUUGAAUUUUCGGACGAUAAUUGUUUCUUUGGGUUGUGCACAUCAGCUGGUGCAACAGGUUUUAUCGAGUCAUAGUCUCAAAGAACCCCGACGUUAGGAGCACGCCAAGCAAACACGGCCCCCACUCCGCUUUACUAAAAGCAAAAAUCACAAUCUGAAGAUCAGACUAAGGACCUAUGGAAGUCGGGGCCCUAUAUUAGACCAGACAAUAGGGGGCCAUUCAGGCCUUUUUUCGUGCCCCUCUUAUAUAGAAUGAGCGCGUUGCUUGAAUUGGCUUAUUCGUUAGCUUGAGAUAGAACUACUCACAUACCAACAGAAGGCCCAAUAGGGUUAGGAAACAAGGAUAACGUAGUUUUAGCAAGAUUUCAUAAGGUAUAAUCCUAGGCGGUGUAUAGGAUAUCUAUCUAUAAUAGGCUUGCUUGCUACUAUCUUGAUAGCCAAAAAAAAGAAUUAAACUACAAGUGAAAUGGGUUAUUAAACCAAAUCAAACUUUAUAUAACUAUAUUCUUAUUGGGGAGCCUAAAUAAGAGUCACGCUCUCCCAGAAGCAAAACACAUGUUUAAUCUUACACUCUAUUUUCCGAUAAUCCAGAAAAUACAUGGCUACACUACUUCGUUCUUGUUUUACUCUUUUAUAUCUAUAUGAAGAUUGUAGUAUAUGGGGAACAACACAUGAUUGAUCGAAGUUGUGCCUAAUUCUAGGGAUAUCAGGUUGAGAGUAUCCUAGCCUUAAACAGACCAAUUUAGGUUUUCGACACAACUUUCAAUUCGGAUUGAUUCUCUUUUAGCCAAGAAGACUUGCAAAAGGGGCAUGUUUCCUUCUUUCUUGAUUGGCAGGUUUACGAAUAUGUAAACCAAAAUUUAAUUCAAGUUGAAUUUGCAUGUGGCGAAAUACUUAACUUGCAAUCUACUAACCAGAAAUAUGGUUUUAGCACGAUUCUUCCAAUCCCGCGAUGGCAGAAAACAUUAGCCACAGGAGUCAAAUUAUAGAGCUUAUCAAACAUCAAUCCCUGCAGGAAUACAUCAGAAAAGUGCUGAGAACGAAACGCGAGAAGAAGAUUAGGGAUGCACAGGAUGUGGAUAUGUGACACUGAUGGCCAGACGAACUCGCGUGUUGACUGGCGACUGGAUUUUAGACACUGAAUAAUUAGUGCAUCACUUGACCCAGAACAGGAAAAAGAAGGACGGAAAUGAUUGCGGUCAAAAUUCAGCCGCGACUUGUGGUUCAGAGCAUUAGCUGCCAACGUUGGAGCCCGACGGCAUACGUUUUCAAAGACUUUUAUCAUGUUGCUUGGAUCUUUCUCAUCAGAGAAAAACCUAAUUCGAUAAUUGACUCAAAGUUAAACGUUACUCAUGUGACGAAAAUUUCCUGGAGCUUUCAACACGGUCAAUGGCCCUACUAAAGAUCCUUAUUUUGACUAUCAUGGGCAUCAACUUGGGGAAAUCAACCAAAUGUUAUGAUUUCUGGGAUGCUUGUGCACCUAGGUCCCAUGAGAUUGCCUAUAGUAUCUGAUGAAUGGACUCAUUUAUGUGCAUAGAUUAGAUGAAGGUGAUGGGUCCGACUCCCUCCGUCGUCAGGCGCAAACAUCGUAUUUGGAGCACAGUGGAUUUUCUCUCAUACGUCACUUUAAUAGGAGAUCAGAGGUAUUCUACGGUCUCGACGUUUUUGUUCUUACUUUAAUUCAAGCCUUUAAAUAAACCUUUUUUUCUCUUACCAGAGCACUUGUUCACAGAAAAAAACACAAAAGAAAGAAGACAUUUUAUUCUUGAGAAACGCCCAUGUUAGGAGAACGCUAGGCAAGUAGGGCCUCACUACGAGAGGUCGAACCGAGGACCUAUGGGACUCGGGACCCAGUCAAUAGUCAAUCAAACAAUAGGGGACUCUGCUGGCCUUUAUUCUUGCCUAUCUUAUGCUCAAUGACUGUUAGAUGAACUAGCUCUUUCGUUGGCUUCAGAUAGAGCUACUUAAAUACCAACGUGAGGACUGGCAGGCCCAUGACAAAAGAAUAAAGUAGUUUCAACAAGAUUCCAUUUUGUAUAUCCUAGGUCGAGUACAAGAUAUAUUUCUCUAAUAUGUAUAUCAAAUCGACUCUUUUGACUAUUCGUUUGGAAAUUUGAUGUUGCUGGGAAUGAUUCUGGGUUACAUAUCUUAUCUUUUCUUGGCCAAAAGAGUAUUUAUAUCGAGUAAUUUCUCAUAUUUUGAAAGUGCUUUUCUUGUGAACAAUACGACUCUCACUUGAGUGGAAAAUUAUGGAAAAAAAAAAAAGCCUUGAACUUAUUGUACAAAUCUAAAUUUAGUUCUAAAUAUUCAAUUUAAUUAAUUUAAUAUUAAAUCUUUUGACAGUUUGUCAAUUUAACCUUCAUAGUCAAUUUUGGCUGAAAAUUGCUAACACGAACAUUUGUUGCCCUACUACGUGGCACAGCCGGCAUAAACGUAGACAACAUUUUGCAAUUUUUCUAAAAGAGUUGAUUUUUUUUUUUUUUUGUCGUUGUGCACCAACCACCAAGCAAAAGCUAGGCCGGCCACAGGCGAGGGCAUGGGCUAGGUCAGCCGUUAGCAAGGGCCUUUGCGCCCUUGCUUGCAGCCUAGGCAAGAGCCAAUUACAGAGCAAAAGAAAACAAAAAAUAAGAAAAUAAAAAGGAAAUGAUUCACACAAAAAAAAAAAACAAUAACAACAACAAUUUUUACACAAAAUUGCCUAUGUCGACACUGUUCAUCCUAUGUGACACAGCCGCCUUCUACGUCGGCAAUUUUCAAAUAAAAUGAUCUAGAAUUGGUAAAUUGUCAAAAGAUUGAGCCUUGAAUUGGCAAAUUAAAAAAAUAUAAUAAUAAGACUGAAUUGACUAAAAAUUUAAGACCUUUUUUUUUUAUAAACUCCCCCCCUCAAGCAAGAAUUGCACUCAUUCCCAGGGAACACACUUUCAAAUUAUGAAAGAUAACUCGAAAUAAACACUCUCUCGGCCAAGAAAAGAAGAAAAGAAGAUUAAGAUAAGUAACCUAGAAUCAUUCCUAGCAGAUCAAACUUCCAAACUGAAUGGUAAUGGAUCGUGUGCUGUAUGAAGAAAAAGUUGCCCUGAAGAGAAUGGUCAAAAGAGCCCGAUCCGAUGUCCAUUCCCAGUGCCAGCAUGCCUCACCUCAGCACGGUGUGGACUCGCCAAAACUUGCUCAGAAAGCUUUCACUUUCCUUCUCUUUUUCUGCGUUGCACGUGGGUGCUUGCCCUGGCAUGCAAUGAGGUUAAAUAAAUGCAAUCGUUCAGCACUAGAAGGGUCAUCCGUAAAGCUUGUCUUCAUCUCUUUUCUUCUUUGACGGUCGUGGGGAACUCAUCAGUGCCAGUUGGGUAGUUUUAUUUGGUUGUGAAUUACCAUACCCACUACAAGUAUCAAUAAUUGAAGGGGGAGGGCGGCUAUAACCAGCAAUCACAUCCUUGCGUUAACAUAACUAUCAUGCACCUACUAUAGAUUACUUGACUUUAGCUAUAAUUAUUUUACUCCAUUUGCAAUUUGAAAAUCUAAGAUUAACAAGCCUAUUGAGGCAACCAUGUCAAAAUGUCAUUAGUUAAUAAAUCUCUUCACACGAGACAUGUUAUAUAAUGCAGCACGAAAUUCAUAGGGUUUCCUUACCUAGGAUUCUUUUGAAACUAUUAUGAUGGUUCGCAUGUAAAUUUUGUGGUUUCUCCGUUAAAAUAAUAUCUUCUAUUUUGACAUUAUAUUUUAAGGGAUUUUUUGGGGUGAAAAAGCCCAAGCAUAACCGUUUUUGAGUAAAAAAACAAAUGUACAAGCCAUUCCAUGGUUUGAUGCCAAUCGCCCUCUCAGACCUCUUCUUUUUCUGAAGGCUCGUAAUUACAAUUCGAAAUUAUCCUUUAGGGACUUAUAUUAAGGGAAAGAGAUCCACUCGAAUCUCACAACUGAAAAAAGAAAGGAAAAAGAAAAACACAGACCCUACCAUUUUUUUCCCUAUUUUCCCAAUUGUAGAUAAUUACCCCCAAUUACUUGGGCUGUAAAAUGGGUUUCUCCUAUGAUUAAUUUAAAGGUCCUAAAUCUAUGAUAUGCCUACGUGGCACAGCACCGAUUGGACCACUACGUUAUGGUUACCGGUUAAUUUUGGCUAGAAUAAAUUAUGUUGAGAAGUUGUCAAAAGAGUUUAGGAUAAAAUCGGUCAAAUUAAAAGUUUUAGAACUGAAUUAAUUAUUGUAUAAAAAAAAUUAGGUUUUUCGAGAUAAUUAUCCUCUCAAUUAUUGCUUUCUUGACAUCUUCUAGUGAGAGGACAGAGCAGCGCGGUGAAAGAACGAAUGAACGCCUGAGUGGAAUCUUGAAUUCAAUGCACGAAAUUCCUCAAAUUUCAAAAUGUGGGGGAAGAAAGCGGGAUACGGAUAAUAUAAUAAAACGAAAGGAGGAUGAAGAGCCACGUACUACAUAUCUUCCCCGCAAGUUGCGAUUCGAUUCCAAGCGCGCCAAGCCACGUCGCCCAUGCAUGCGUCACCCUUCUGUACCAUCCCUUGCGUCAUCUUAUUCGUUUGGGCAUGAAGCACUUAAUUGAUCGAUCGAGUUUUAAAAUAUUAAAUUUUUGGUCGAUUGAGCUUUUUCACUUUUUUAAAAUACAUUGAAUUGAGUCGUCGAUCGAAUUGGCUUACUUCGAUGCCAACAAAUGACAAUUGACCAACACACGGAGCACUCCAUUGUACAUUUAAAGAAUAUGGAAGACUCAUCUGAUCAAAAUAAAGUUUGUAGGGCUUGAUUGAAUGAUGGUUGAUUGAUAAAAAGCCUAUGAUUAUGGAAUGUAUUUAAAUUUUACCUAAGAUAAAAGAAACUUUUAGAAUGAAUCAUGAGAAGGGCACGUCCAAGUGCCUCAGAUUUUUUACUAUAUGCAUCUAUCAAUAUUAUAUAUAGCCACCAUUGUUGGAAAAAAUGAUGGGUAGAUAUUUAUGAUAGCUUAGCACCACUAACCCUAAUUAAAAUUCCUCUUGUAUUGAAAGAGUCAACAUUGCAACGCAAAGAAUUUUGAAUAGAACUUUUUCCAUUCAAUAGUAACCCACAUUCAAAAACAAACAAAACGAUCAUGAUAUAUAUGUCACAUGUUGAAUUAGAUACAUUGAAUUUCCCAUGACACGGUGCUGCGUGAUUAUUCAAGUUUCAAUAAGUAACAAAAAACGACAAGAUUCAUGUAUGGGAUGUUUUGAGAGCUCUUCCCUUAUCUAUCUUUCACUAGACAAAAUAGUCUCCCUCUGAACACGCAAGUUCCGACUGUAAGCUGCAAAAAUGGCAUCCCAAAACCUUUAUAACUAAAAUCUAGAAUACAUUAAUGGAGAAAAAGAGUCUUGCUCACCUAAUUUAGAAUCAAUUGUUCUUGCUACGAAACAGUGAUGAUCCAAAAGUUAAGUUCUUCUCCUUUAUUGGCCUCUAUACGACUAGAUAACCCUCAAUAUUCAAUAAAUGCUUCUUAUGCAAUGUUAUUUGUGCAUCUGGUUGAAUGAGAGACUUGAAUAUUAUUUAUAAAAUUUUAAGCCACAAGCCCUCUCAUCAUAGAAUGAGCUUUACACGGCCCGCACAAAUAGUCCAAUAUUGAACUAAUUAUGAAUCUUUAUAUCUCACUUUAUUAGAUCGAUCUCCUAAAUAGGUAAAUUACAAUCUUAAAUAAUAUAAUCUAUAUCAGAAAAACCCUUACACCGACAUCUGUCACCAAAGCAUGCUUCUCCUUAGGUUAACCUUGAAAGGAAGACGGGGGUGCACCGUUUCAUACCCGCUCAUUAAGCAAGAAGAUGAUCACAAUUAUCACUUGAGUAACCCGUUGGGAUUCGUCGCAAUCCAAUACGAUUAGGCCUUCUACAAUUUCCUCCGGGCUCCAUAAUCAAUGACUGACCCACUUCACAUGCCCACUUUCCUCAUUUUAGCAUUUGGUGAUUAGAGCUUUGGAAACAAGUGAGAGAUUUUAAACCACGUGGCGUCCAGGGAAAACAAGAAAGAAGAUUGUAUAAAAAACUCCAACUUGAGGCAGCGCGUGUAUAAAUUUCAACGAGUGGCUGCUAAGCCUCCAUGAGCUCUCUUCAGCAGCAGCGCACGCAAAAACUCACUCACCCAACGCUACUCAAGUAGCAAGAGGAGGAAGAAGGGGAGGUAGAAGAUGGAUGCUCAACCGCCAGCGCCGAGGCCCCAUCCAGCCCCUGCCUUCGGCAACCAACCACCUCCAAGAGGCAGCGUCAUCAAGAAAAUCAUCUCCGGCCAGAAAUGAAACUGCUAUGAUCUUUAAGCUUCUUUAUCCUUGGGGGAGGUGUAAUUAGGUUUUCGAUCAUGUGAAAUACACGACUUCUAUCCUGUCUUGUCAGGAAUGUGUAGUUAGUAUAAUGAGGUUGCUGUACAUAUUAUAAAGGGAAUGCUGGAAUGGCCUAGAUCUGAGAUCUAGUACAUACAUGGUGUUUCCCUGAUGUCAAAUGUAAUCAAGAUCCUCCCCCAAAUUAAGCUUGUGAUGUUUUUACAGGGUAGGCAUAUUUCCAGGUAAUUCUCAUACCCGCUUGCGCUAGCAAAUAGAUCUCGGGUUCCUCUUGUGCUUUCGUACCGUUUAUGUCGUGCAUGUGCAGCACGCAUGUUCGUAUGUAUUUGCUUGUGCGCAGGGCAGGCAAGCGUGCUGAACGGGUAGAAUAAUCGGGUUGAAUUUCGAAGCAGGACUUCUAACCAGAAACCUCGUAUCAGCGGACUAUGAGUAUCAGCUUGAAUGUGUAUACUGACACGUCAAACCUCGUCGGAGGCUAAUGCCGAGAAGGAUCCUGAAUAAGCAACUCUUUGCUUGCAUAACUCAUCUCUGUUACUGUUGAUUAUUCAGGAUUUUUAACCAGAAACCUUGCAUAAGUGAACGACAAAUAUCAGCUCGAAUGUCUCUAUCAACGCAUCUAACAUCGCCGGAGGCUAAUGCCAAUAAGGGACUCCGGAUAAGCAACUCCUUUUCUGCAUAAUUUUUCUAUAUUAUUGUCAGUAUUGAUUAUUCUUUUUUUUUUCUUUUCUUGAGAAUUGUUAUGGAAAGAAAAUCUGACUUAGCUCUGAAAUUGGAGAUGAAGAUUUGAGCAUUAUUCAAUGCACCAGAUCAUGCAUGACCCACCAUGACAUGAGCGAUGAAGAUUUAUUUUUUUAUUUUUUUUAUCAGAGAGAGAUGAAGAAUGAGAUGAAGAUUGAGAUGAUAGUUUUUGGCAGAUAUUGACUGUCGCCAGUUGGAAAUUACUGCUUAAAUAAAAAAAAGUUAUCAGUCUAUGUCAAAGGAGU